rnacentral:tRNA from 1 species
UUACUUUGGCAGAAUAGUGCUUUAAAUUUAGAAUUUAAAUAUGUAUAGGGAAUCAAGUAAUA